GCCUACGGCCAUACCACCCUGAACACGCUCGAUCUCGUCUGAUCUCGGAUGCUAAGCAGGGUCGGGCCUUGUUAGUACAUGGAUGGGAGACCGCCUGGGAAUACCAGGUGUUGUAGGCU
rnacentral:rRNA from 1 species